rnacentral:rRNA from 1 species
AGUGAACGCUAGCGGUAGGCCUAACACAUGCAAGUCGAACGGCAGCACAGUAAGAGCUUGCUCUUACGGGUGGCGAGUGGCGGACGGGUGAGGAAUACAUCGGAAUCUACUUUUUCGUGGGGGAUAACGUAGGGAAACUUACGCUAAUACCGCAUACGACCUACGGGUGAAAGCAGGGGAUCUUCGGACCUUGCGCGAUUGAAUGAGCCGAUGUCGGAUUAGCUAGUUGGCGGGGUAAAGGCCCACCAAGGCGACGAUCCGUAGCUGGUCUGAGAGGAUGAUCAGCCACACUGGAACUGAGACACGGUCCAGACUCCUACGGGAGGCAGCAGUGGGGAAUAUUGGACAAUGGGUGCAAGCCUGAUCCAGCCAUACCGCGUGGGUGAAGAAGGCCUUCGGGUUGUAAAGCCCUUUUGUUGGGAAAGAAAAGCAGCAGGUUAAUACCCCGCUGUUCUGACGGUACCCAAAGAAUAAGCACCGGCUAACUUCGUG